ensembl:ncRNA T01G1.5 ncRNA
CUCCUCAAUUCUUUUUGCGUGCUCACUCAACCGAUGCCUAAUUUCAAUUCGCAACUCAUCCUUCUCCUUCUUUUUCUUCAUCUUCUAUUUCGACUGAGUGUUUGUAUGUCCGAAUUGAUGAACCCCUCUAGCACUUCUUCU